AUGAUUUUAUCGAAAAAAAUAAAAAAUCAACAUAAUUUUCAUCGUGAUGAAACAAAUAAACACAAUUGUAUCGACACAUAUUUUGCUCUGCAUUCCUCUGCAUAUUUUGUUUGAGUUGCGAAGUUAAUAUUUAAAGGAAUUUUGCUGUGAUUGUGCUGUACAUUAUCGGUGUGUAAUAUCUACUAGAUAUGGCUGAACAACAAGUUGACGGACCUCCAAAUAAGAAGCAGAAAGUUGGUAGUUCUAGUACCUCAACUGAUAAUGAAUUAG